GACGAACGCUGGCGGCGUGCUUAACACAUGCAAGUCGAACGGUGAAGCGCCUUCCUUUUUGGUGGGUGUGGGUGAGUGGCGAACCGGUGAGUAACACGUGAGUAACCUGCCCCCUUCUUCUGGAUAACCGCAUGAAAGUGUCGCUAAUACGGGAUAUUCUGUGUCUGUCGCAUGAUGGGUCUGUGAAAGAUUUUGUUUCGGUGGGGGAUGGGCUCGCGGCCUAUCAGCUUGUUGGUGGGGUGCUGGCCUACCAAGGCGGUGACGGGUAGCCGGCCUGAGAGGGUGGACGGCCACACUGGGACGGGGACACCGAGACGACUCCGACGGGAGGCGGCAGUGAGGAUUAGAGCAUAGUGGGCGCAAGGAUGCUGCAGCGACGCCGGGUGAGGGAUGGAGUCCGUCGUGUUGUGAACCUCUUUCGCGAGAGAAGCCGGCCCGCCUAGUGUGUGGGUGGGUUGACGGUAGCUGGAGAAGAAGCGCCGGCUAACUACGUG
rnacentral:rRNA from 1 species